AGGAUUUUUAUCAUAUGAAAAUUUAGAAUAUGAAAGUUAUCAUAUGAAAAUUUCAAACAAUAUCAACUCUAUUUGCUAUAAUACCACAUUAUAAUAGUUUAUAAUAGUCUAUAAUAGUCACAUUACACACUUGUUUGAGUUUAGUAAGGAACAUUUUGCCAAUCCAGUGAGUGAAUUACACAGAGUGUACUUUUAAAAGGGUAACUGGAUGUUCGGUACAUCAAAUCUAUAAUUAUGUUUAAUAUUAUUUUAUAACAUUCUUACAAAAAUCUAUAUAAAAGCUACUUAAAAUAUAUACUAGCUAGAAGUCUAAAAGUUGCUGUAUAUUUAAAAGCCCGAUUUCAUAUGGCAUCGUGGUGUUUUUGAGUCUGUUUGUUAAGCUAAUACACAUUCUUGAUUAGUUUUUCAGCAGCCAAUAAGGCUAAAGUGACGCAAAUCACACAUCCAGUCUUUUUAAAUCAGACCUGAGCCACUUUGACACAUGGUCCUAGAAAUUCAUUGGAAUUUAAAUGACUUUUCCGCAACACGCAUGGACAUUUUACUGUCGUCUUCACCAUCCGGCGUCAGCAGCGCAGCAGAACAACAACAGAGGACAGCAAUGACAGUGACUAUACUCAGUGGAAGGAUGUGGAAAUUGGUGAUCUACUUGAAAUUUGGGGAAUCGAUUCAAGCAAAACCGGAAGGAACCAAGAAGCAUGUAAUGUGAGCGUAGCCUUUGAAACGUUGUGAUUAUUUUGACUUCCCUUUUCUGAACCUUGCACAGGAUGUUCUAACAAAGUCGUAGCUAUAAAAAUGCAGGUAAUAUAUUUCCAGAACUUUUCUUUCCUAAACCGCGCUCCUCUCCUGUGUGUUCUCUGUAAGGACCUGAUAGCAUCUCUGCACUGUCACAAAUCACUUGUGCUGUUGUGUAAUGUCUGAACCGACUUGUACUUUUGAUGAAGGUGUGCUGUUGUGUAAUGUCUGAACCGACGAGUGCUUUCAGAGAAGUAGGUCUGCGAAUCCCGCCGGCCCUCAGCAGUCUCCAUCCACUGACUUCAGCAGGAAGAUAGGAUUGCGAGUGUUUGGCAGGAUGCAGUUUUAUUUCUAUAGCACUUUAACAAUAGACAUAGCAGCUUUACAGAAAUCUGAAUGUAAAUGAACAAUGAGCAAGCCAGAGGUCAGAGUGGCAUGAGGAAAAACUCCCUGAGACGACAUGAAGAAGAAACGUUGAGAGACUCAACAGGGAACCCAUCCUCUUCUGUCCUCGUCUGAGUGACACUGGAUAGUGCGAUUAUAAAUCAUUGCAGUAUUCAGGUGUAGAAGAGUAAAGACAAGCACUAUGUACUAAACGUGUGAAAGGAUGUUAAGUAUGAGCAGAUUGCGAAUAAGAGUUCUGGGAUGAGAUUAUCCACUGAAGCCAGGGGAUCUUCAGUAGCAGAAGGUGAGUCACAAGUGCAGAAGUAGAGCAUCAUGAUAAAUCAUGCAGGUCACACGUGAUGUGUGUGUUGAUUUUUUAUUUAUUUUUUUUUUUGUGAACUGUGUUCAUUUGAUGCCUUUCAGCUGUGCAGCACAUAAGCCGGUGUGUGCAUACUGAAGCUCCUUUGGCCUUUUGCCCCGUGAUAUGUGUGUGUGUGUGUGUUUCAGAAGUCUGAGCCAGUUGUGGAAUGCACUCUGCUUAAUGCGAGUGUAAUCCUGCAGUGCAGCUAUUGUGGACACGGAUAGAUGGAUAGAUGACGGAUGGACUAAUUGAGGAGUCCUUAUCUCAUUCUGACUUUGCACUCACUCACCUUUUUUUUUUUUCUUUUUUUUUUUUUUCCCUCAAAAGCAUGUACCUGGUAUUAAGGGUAUUUCUCCAACAACAGUCAUCAUGAUAAGAAAGAUUCAUCAUUAUAUCAAACUGCAAUACAUUUUGUUUAGAUAAAAGAAAACUGUUCUUCCGUCUGUCACAUAGCUCACAUUGUGGUUUCGUGUUUAGAUUCAGUUUGUUAGUAAUGUAGAAGUGGGAGCUUUAGAUGCAUUUCAGCAUCUUGUGUUCGCGCCUCAACCAGUAAGAAGUUAUUAUUUAGAAGUGCGAAACUCGCAGACGUGUUUGAUCGGCUGUGGCAGGGGAAACACUGAAUCGGCGUUUUCUGACUAACAGAAGAAUAAAAAAAAAAACUGCCGUUUGAUUGUGUGAUUCUAUCUGCAACUGACACCCAAGUUUCAGGGUUGGUAACUUCUGGUUUAAGUGGUUAAAAGGUGUUGCCAUGACGAUACCUUGUUUGCUUUUAUUUUUAUCAUCUAAUGUUGAGCAUGAGACGGAAAUAAUGAUCUUGACUGAGCUACUGCAGAAGAUUUUGCAUAAAACAAAGGUAACCUAUCCUCUUCCGAGUGAUAGUGGGAUUAUAAAAUAUUACAGUGUAGAAGAGUAAAGUCAAACAGUGCUAAAUGAUUACAGGAUAUUCAGUAUGAGCAGAUUGUGAAUAAGUAUCCUGCGAUAAACACAGGACAGUCUUUAUGAAUACAGCAGCAGUUCUUAGGUACAAAGCUACAGGUGAAGCAAGGGUAAGUCUGAACUGUUUUUAGGAAAGUGUGAUCUUUAGGGUAUCCAUGUAGGAUCAUUCACAGCAGCAGAAGGUGAGUUACAAGUGCAGAAAAGAAGAAGUAUGACGAUGAAUCAGGCAGGUAUGGAGAGGAGCCACAGCAGGAGACAUGUGUCAGGAUCAUGCCAGGAUCACAUCAGGCAGCAGGGGAACAUGUACAGCUUGAGACAGAGAGAGGGACAGAGAGGGACAGAGAGGGACAGAGAGGGACAGAGAGGGAGAGAGAGAGAAGCAAGCAGAUUAUUAGGUAUGUUCUUAUCUUACAGUGUUUUAAAAUGGUGCACAGUGGCAACACAGGCAUGAGAGAAACAAACCUGAGAGAUGACAAGAGAAAGGGUGGAGACAGCAUCAAAAUAUCCCACAUUACAACAUUUGUGACCAACUAAAAGCUGCAGUGCUAUUUUUUGCUAAAUAAGGCCUCAUAUGUAAUUAUCAGCAGGGAAGCAUCUGCAUUUCAGGUCGGUGCACAUAAGCUGUGAAACGAUGACACCCACAGACUCUUACUGAUGAGCCAUGUUGACUGGACGUCAUUCCCUGACCUCAGAGGAACUCGGAGUCUUGGAGAAGACUACUCCGAGUUCAUGAGAAGGAAUUUCGAGUUGAGGGAGCAUUUUCUUUGGCUUUUCCUGGUCAGAGAUCAAGAAUUACAAGUUAUGACCUCUAGGCAGACAAAGCACAACCAACUCUCUGGAAGCCCCGCCCACAUCCCCCUGUCUCUCCCGAGUAAUCUUUUGGCUGGCGUUCUUUCUCAACUCUGUUUUCCUGCAUGAAAGAUGCACUGAUGAGAUGGCCUUGCUAUCUGUCUGUAAAGGUUUUGAGUUCAUUAACAUGAAAUAAAAUCUAUCAGUGUAUGUUCAACUUCAAAAUUUCAGCCACCGUACAAGAAGAAAAGAUAGAAAAGUCUUGAAUCUGACACUUUACAAAAAAAAUGUAGUGGUAAUGAUAAUUACAAAGUGAUUAAAAACUAAAAAAGUACAUAGUGAGUAAAAAAUCCUGGUUUUGUUUACUAGUACAUGACCUCGAUUGAUAAGCCGUCACUACGCAAUGACAGUUUUACAAUAACAAUUUGACACUUCAAACCCUGCGACUGCCAGACAGCCGCUGUGGAGCGGUGAACCCUGUCCUUAACGCUCGGCUAUGGAAUUGCUGAUCCUGUACUAUGAUCCUGGCUUCUUUUCAAGUGGGACAAGGUCGAAAAAUGAGUCACCAUCAGGUGUCGUCCAGCCAAUUUUAUUAUCGACAAGUCACCAUAGCAGCAUAAUUCAGCCUGUUAAACAUGAAGUGCUGUUAAAUGAUGUCCAUUAGAGGGAGCCAGAGCUUUGAAUUAAAGUCAAGGCACACGUCCUCAGAUUUCAUCCUCGCAUAUGGAUAGAAAUAUCCUCUCAUUUGCUUUAUUUGCUUAAUUCAGUUUACCUGCUGAAGCUCUACAUUUUGCACAUUCAAAAAAGAGACAAUUUUUCUGUUUAUUUUAAUUAUUAUUUUUUCCUCAAUUCAUCUCUCUAGCUCAUAGUUUUAAUCAUAGCUGUGGUGUACGCCAGUCCCAGCUGCACUCUCGAGUUCCUGUCUAAUGACUUGAAAGUGAGCGUGUCUGCCAUCUUGGCUAGCGCAGGAGACAGGAAGUGGGUGAGACUGCGAGGAAGCAAUGGGCAGAGGAGCUCAGGAGGUUUACAGUCUUUACAAACGUCUUUUAAGGAACAGCAGUACACCUACUUUGCUGUCGGGAACUGUUGCCAAUUGCAGGUCAUAAUUUAUCACUGUGUUAAGAGUAACUAUAAAUGGGAGAGCAGGAGUCAUUUGGAUUGCAAACAUGAAUCGCAGAUUAUACUGUUUCGACAGUUUAUAGCAAUAAUCAUCAAAUUUUACAGUGUAGGUAUAAAAUAUUUUAGAUGAAUACAUCCAUAUAACAGAAAGAGUAAUAAAUAGGACCAUGUGAGAUGCUCCUGUCCAAAUGAGACCAGAGAUUAAGGAACAAAACACUUGUAGCAUGCUGUUAUAGAAAAAUAAUCAACGAUGGCAUGGUGUGUAUGGUCUGACGUGAAUCAGAGGUAGGGUUAUCAAUUUAAUUCCCUUGACACCCGACCAUUAGAGUUUCACAAAAUUUUAUAUUGAAGUUGUUUGCAAUUGAAAUUAAACAUUACAGCAUAAUCUGUGCAUAAAACUACAAUAAUUUAUGAGUUACGAUUUGAAAAUUUUGAUCAGUCAAAAUUUGCAGUAGUCAGUGUAAAUUUACACAAUCUCAGGAACUCUUAUAGGAAACAAAUGGUUUUCUGAACGAACUGGAUUUUCGUGAAUGCCACAUUUCUUGUGUAAAUGCUCCUACAAAUAAUUCCCGAAAAAAUUCCUUUCUAUCCAGCCUCACAAUUGAGGUCCAUUGUCUUUACUUCCUAAUAUCUGGAUAAAGGUAUUUUUAUUUCAAAAGAUUUUUUUUUUUUUUUCGGUAAUGGUGGUAGGAUACGUUAUGGACACUGAUUUAAACCUUUGACUGUUUUGAAAUGUCUAUUAUCGUAACGGCAAAAGUCUUACCCUUUCUGAAGAACUGCUAGCAGAAGCUGUGUGCUGUAUGGAUGACAGAGGAGUGUACGUGGUUAAUCUGAAUCCUCCCUGUUGUUUUGCAGGGUGUGGAAGUCAUUAGCUCGGCUCUAUAUUUGGAUUGGGUGUCAUGGUAAAUGUGUAGUGUAAGAGACGAGCUUUAAAGCGGAUGAUUGCAACCGACAUGGCUGCACAUACUUAUUAAAAUAUACAGCUGUGCUCUUUACAUUGCAGUCUUACACAAGUGUUUGGGUGUAUUUACACUUUACAGGUGAUGAUGUGUGUGUUUCUGAUAUAGCAGCCUGGAUCUUUCUAACCUCGGCACAGUAGCUCUGGAAGAGUAGCUCUCCCUCUCUCCCUCUCUCUCGCUCACUCCAGUGUGUGCUUAGUCACUGCCGAGGCUAAAUUUUGCUGUUUUUGGCUUUAUAGCGCUGGCUGCUUUUGGGUGGAGUUGUGUAUAAAAGCCACACCUCUAAACCAAACCUCAGCCUCUGUGUUCAGGCAAACAAAGUCUUCAGUGUGAGGGAACAAAGUCACAGUAUGUGCAUGCAGACGGAAUUUGAUUUAAACUCUGACUGUAGCAAAUAUGUUCUAAAAUAAAUCAAAUUUGCCUUUGUGUGUGUGUGUGUGAGUGUGUGAGAAAGCAAAGCACUUGUUUUUGUGGUGUAGGCAUGCAGAGAGAACGCUCAGGGGUUAAAACAUGGCCGCUGCUAUUCUUAGUCUGUGCUGUGUAUGUGCAUGUGAUUUUUUUUCAGGCCUAAAGAAUAACACAUAUAGACUAAACAUAUAGUGCAUAACAAGUUAUGCACUUUAGGGGAAAAACAUAAAAACCUGGACAUGCAUUCAGAAAUAGUCAAGUGUUCUGGAUAGACACUCAGAUUAAUUAUCUUAAUUGGAUUGUACUGCGUGUGUGUCCUUGUCUGUACGUGUGUCUCCACUGUCCAUUCCAUUGUUGUAUUACUAUAGAAAUAGUCAUUUUCUUGCUUUCGAGAUCUCUCCGGCUCGCCAGACUGCCACUUGAAAUGAAAAAGACGUCUCUUUCAUGCCCAUAUUCUUUCUACUUUUCUUGGGCAGCUAGAUUACCUGCUAAUUCUGGAUUAUUUAAUUCAAAUCCUCUCUGCAGGAAUGCGGUUUAGAAGGACUGGCUCCUGCUCUCUGAAUAGGUGAGGUUUUUCUUUUUACUUCUUAGCCUGUGACUUCAUGGAGGACUAGAUAACUUUCCAUAGGUCCGUGUUGUAUUAAAAUUGUUCGGGAUACUAUUCAAACCUUUCAAGAGUUAACUAGGUUAAUGUUUUGGUUCAAGGGUUUUCAUACGUCGACUUCCACCCUCGUUUGUUUGAAUUUGCGCAAAUUUUUCUUGAAAGCAAGUAUUGCAUAAUUAGAGAGAUAUUAUAGCACCUAUUAUUUUUUUUCAUUUCCAUAGUUUUUUUUCUUACCAUGGUAUUGUUUUUUCUUAAAAUGAUAUUGCCAACAAUUUGUUUUUAAUCCAUACUAAAACUUUAAGGUAUAACUUUAAUAAAUAAAUAAAUAAAUAGAUAAAUACAGUUCAAUGCAAAAGUCUUAGGCACUUUUUUUAGUGCAAAUCUUGUUAUAGAUUUUUUUUUUUUUUUUUGUGACUAUGGCAUUACUGAAUCAGUACAAAAACAUUAUUUGUUCCAACUAAAAAUUAAAUGUUACAGAAAAAUGUUUGAAUGUCAGUAAAGAAAGCUGCAUAUUAUGUAACAGGCCACUUUUCAGACCCCAAAAAAAAAAAAAAAAAAAAAAAAAACAUAA